rnacentral:tRNA from 1 species
GGGGGAAUAGCUCAGCUGGUAGAGCAGGCUCUUGAUAAGGGUCAGGUCGCAGGUUCGAGCCCUGCUUCUCCCA